UACGUAGGGUGCGAGCGUUAAUCGGAAUUACUGGGCGUAAAGCGUGCGCAGGCGGUUAUGUAAGACAGAUGUGAAAUCCCCGGGCUCAACCUGGGAACUGCAUUUGUGACUGCAUCGCUAGAGUACGGUAGAGGGGGAUGGAAUUCCGCGUGUAGCAGUGAAAUGCGUAGAUAUGCGGAGGAACACCGAUGGCGAAGGCAAUCCCCUGGACCUGUACUGACGCUCAUGCACGAAAGCGUGGGGAGCAAACAGGAUUAGAUACCCC
rnacentral:rRNA from 1 species